ACGGGGUGCAGCAGGCGCGAAACCUCCACAAUGCGCGAAAGCGUGAUGGGGUUAUCCCGAGUGCCGUCCGAUGAGGAUGGCUUUUCAUUGGUGUAAGAAUCCGAUGGAAUAAAGGGGGGGCAAGACUGGUGUCAGCCGCCGCGGUAAUACCAGCCCCCUGAGUGGUAAGGACGAUUAUUUGGCCUAAAGCGUUCGUAGCCGGCUUAACAAGUCUUUUGUUAAAUCCAACGAUUCAAUCGUUGGGCUGCAAAAGAUACUGUUAUGCUAGAGGACGGGAGAGGUCGACGGUAGUCCAGGGGUAGGGGUGAAAUCCUAUAAUCCUUGGAGGACCACCAGUGGCGAAGGCGGUCGACUAGAACGUGCCUGACGGUGAGGGACGAAAGCUGGGGGAGCGAACCGGAUUAGAUACCCGGGUAGUCCCAGCUGUAAACGAUGCGGGCUAGGUGUUGGGGCAGCCACGAGCUGCUCCAGUGCCGCAGAGAAGUUGUUAAGCCCGCCGCCUGGGGAGUACGGCCGCAAGGCUGAAACUUAAAGGAAUUGGCGGGG
rnacentral:rRNA from 1 species